rnacentral:rRNA from 1 species
AGUGAACGCUGGCGGUAGGCCUAACACAUGCAAGUCGAACGGCAGCACAGGAGAGCUUGCUCUCUGGGUGGCGAGUGGCGGACGGGUGAGGAAUACAUCGGAAUCUACCUUUUCGUGGGGGAUAACGUAGGGAAACUUACGCUAAUACCGCAUACGACCUACGGGUGAAAGUGGGGGACCGCAAGGCCUCACGCGAUUAGAUGAGCCGAUGUCCGAUUAGCUAGUGGGCGGGGUAAUGGCCCACCAAGGCGACGAUCGGUAGCUGGUCUGAGAGGAUGAACAGCCACACGGGAACUGAGACACGGUCCAGACUCCGACGGGAGGCAGCAGUGGGGAAUAUUGGACAGUGGGCGCAAGCCUGAUCCAGCCAUACCGCGUGGGUGAAGAAGGCCUUCGGGUUGUAAAGCCCUUUUGUUGGGAAAGAAAUCCUGUCGAUUAAUACUCGGUGGGGAUGACGGUACCCAAAGAAUAAGCACCGGCUAACUUCGUGCCAGCCGCCGCCGUAAAAC